CGAAUAGUGAAUUUGUGAGCAAACGAACUCUGGUAGAAGUUUGGGGCAGAUGAAAACAACCCAUGGUCUCGCGCGGAAAUGAGCGAAAUGAAAGAGACGUAUCCGGUAGUUAGUAUUUAUCCGGAAUGCUUGUGCGCAAUGGCGGCAAUAAACAAACGAAGCGGAUACGUUGAAGGAAAAUCUUCUUUAUUUAUUUCUUACCGUUAUGUAGACCAGUGAAAAUAAUGUACAACGAUUAAUCGUAUAAAUCCCAUGAAGAAUAGAAAACUGAAAGUAGGGCAAACAUAGAUCCCUGGACAUAUCAGAGGUGAGAUCAGACAGAUCAUGAGAUGGAAACCAAUGUAAUUGAGAUGAAAAGGGAGUACAACUCGAAAUAUCAAGGAAAAACAAGAAAGGCCAUUGUGAAUCAGCAGAUGAUGUCCUAUACAACCAUCCUUCCAUGACACAUACAAUGGGAAGGUAACAGCUAAGUAUAUACAUAUAAAUGAUAUUAAAAUCCUGCGUGCUCGUUCCAUAUAAUGUCCCUUGAACAUUACAAGUAUUUACUUAUUCCAAAUACAUGUAGUUCAAAAUUAAGUCAGAAAUUCUAAACAUUUUUUUUAAAUUAAAGUUUAUUUCAGGAAACAAAGCCUGUCUGAAACUCCAAAAUGACAUUUCCAGAAAGCUGAAGAAUGGAUAAAAAUGUAUCUUUCAUGUGAUGCAACGGUGUUCGAUCUUGUGACUUUGACCUGGAAGUUUGACCUAUUUUUGAUAAAAAUCUGACCUAUUCAAUAUCUCAACUAUUUAAGACAGAGCUUUCAUAUUUUGUAUAUAGAUUUCUUAUGUCAAGAUCUUUUGUAUCAUGCAUGUACCAUGAUUAAUUACGUUGUGACCUUGGUCUUAUCCAGAACAGCAAGAUCUUGUCGAUCAUAUUGGUGUUGAGGCAUUUCUGUGUAAUGUGAAUUCAUUUUCAGUAAUGUUGUGAUCCUUUGGGGCUCAUGUAGGCUGGGGCCACAAUAUGGGAUCAACAUUUCUCAUAGGAAUAAAGACUGAAAUCUUUUUAAAAUCACAACAGCUGUACAAUGGCAAGGCCAAGGUGACUCCGUUGAGCGAUGUGGCUCUUUGGCCUCUUGUACUGUUUAAGACGCAUGUAUUUAAAAUUUAUCAUAGGGUAUAUUUGCAUUUAUUUUUUCAGAAAUUUUGCAUGUCCAUAUGUCUUGGAAGGUGAAUAGGUGAAAAGUCAAUAGAUGCUUACCAUAUCAGAUGCUUGCAGAGGAUACUGGAGAUAAAGUAGAAUUAUGGAAAACAGGAAGUGGCAGCCAGGACUGACAUCAAUGCAAUAAACAAUGAGCCGAGGAGACGGUCAUGGAACUAUAUAGGACACGUGCUAUGGAGGGGAGGUGACAAUGACAGUGAGAUGGCGUUGGGUUGGACACCAGAAGGGAAAAGGGCAUUUAAGAGACCGAAAACAACCUGGAGAGGAACAGUAGAAGCAGAAAGAAAGAUUGCAGAAUGGAGAAACUUGAAUGAGAUCAAGAUGGUAGCAAUAGAACAGAGUGGAUUGGAGAGAGUCUCGGUCCUAUGUGUUUUGGCAUGGAGAGAACUAAGUAAUGUCUAGAUUGUUGGAGAUAGAAUGACCAGGAAUAUGAAUGGAUGUGCUGGAAACUGUACUAAGACCCUUAUGUAUUUGGAUAGAUUUACAUACCAUCAUGAUUUUGCUAUGAAAAGCUUGAAAAAAAUCCUCAACUCAUAUUGUAGCUGACAUUGUACAUUUGUACUUAUUAAUAUUUCAAAUGAACAUAUUUUUAGACAUACAAUAUCUAAACUUUGGAGUCCAUGUACAUCUCCACAUUGGAUAAUAGGUUAUGAUAUAUGUGUGUGAAAUCUUUUCCUAUGGUAUGCACAUGUUAACACAUGAGUUUAAAUGAUGAUGUAUAUCUUAUGACUAUGGAAGAGAAUGUGUUCAGAACAGAAUAUGUGUCUAGAAGAGUUGUUGCCCUUGAAUGUAAUUCAUUAUUUACAUGGGGUUGAAAAAUAAUCCAGCACGCAGUAGUACUAAAUGCAUUAUGUUAAAAUACAUUUAUGAAGGGUAUAAGUGAUACUGUCAAUUACUGAUUAAUACACUUUGUGAAAUCAUAUUAUUGUUAUGUUUAAUAAAUUUCAAGGCUG